rnacentral:rRNA from 1 species
CCUACGGGAGGCAGCAGUGAGGAAUAUUGGUCAAUGGCCGGAAGGCUGAACCAGCCAUGCCGCGUGAAGGUCAGUGCCCUAUGGGCGUUAAACUUCUUUUGUGCGGGAGCAAUAAUGGUCACGUGUGGCCAGACGAGAGUACCGUACGAAUAAGCAUCGGCUAACUCCGUGCCAGCAGCCGCGGUAAUACGGGGGAUGCAAGCGUUAUCCGGAUUUAUUGGGUUUAAAGGGUGCGUAGGCUGUGAGGUAAGUCAGCGGUGAAAUGCCCCCGCUCAACGGGGUGAAGUGCCAUUGAUACUGCCUGGCUGGAAUGCGGAUGCCGUGGGAGGAAUGUGUGGUGUAGCGGUGAAAUACAUAGAUAUCACACAGAACACCGAUUGCGAAGGCAUCUCACGAAUCCGCGAUUGACGCUGAUGCACGAAAGCGUGGGUAUCAAACAGGAUUAGAUACCCGGGUAGUC